CCAGACUCCUACGGGAGGCAGCAGUGGGGGAUAUUGCACAAUGGGGGAAACCCUGAUGCAGCGACGCCGCGUGAGUGAAGAAGUAUUUCGGUAUGUAAAGCUCUAUCAGCAGGGAAGAAAAUGACAGUACCUGACCAAGAAGCCCCGGCUAACUACGUGCCAGCAGCCGCGGUAAUACGAAGGGGGCAAGCGUUAUCCGGAUUUACUGGGUGUAAAGGGAGCGUAGACGGUUAUGUAAGUCUGGAGUGAAAGCCCGGGGCCAAACCCCGGAACUGCUUUGGAAACUGUGAAACUGGAGUACAGGAGGGGAAGGCGGAAUUCCUGGUGUAGCGGUGAAAUGCGUAGAUAUUAGGAGGAACACCAGUGGCGAAGGCGGUCUGCUGGACAGCAACCGACGCUGAGGCGCGAAAGCGUGGGGAGCAAACAGGAUUAGAUACCCGAGUAU
rnacentral:rRNA from 1 species